rnacentral:lncRNA from 1 species
GGAGGAGACGUCACCCUCCCGACAGGAAAAACCUGCUGCGUCUGCGUUUCUCUGCGUCCCGCAGGCUCUCAGCCUCCACCCCGCGUCUCCCGCGCGUCAGAUCCGCGCUCCAGGUUUUGGCGACAGCUUGCAAGGGGAGCCGGCUGCACGUUGACAGCACGCGACCCUCCUUUUCCCUCCCGAGAGCUACAGCUGCCAGGGGGUCCCCAGGGAGCUGCGGCCGCGCUGCGGCGACCCGGUCAGGUGGCCCUUCUUCCCCGCGCAGGUCCCCUUCCUCCGCUGCGAAGCCCCGCACUGCUAGGUGGGUUAGGUAGGACAGGGAAAGGCGGGGACACGAGGGUGAGCACGAGGGUCCCGGGUGCGGGCGGAGUCCCAUUGUUCUCCCGCACCGUACGGACAGCAACGCUCUGGGGUCCCCUCUUUAAAGGGAGCACCCCGCCACUUUUCUUUGUGCCUGAGGGAGCCCCAGCCGGCAUUGCCUCUGAGAGAAGCCACCACUGGGAAGGGGUGGAACUGGGAGGUGACAGUGGGUAGCC